UUGCUUUUCACAGAUCUGGACAUGAGCUCAGAUCCUGGGGCCUCAGUAAAUCCCUCCAGGGCUGGGACGACGACCUUUCAGAGAUGACAUCAAGGGCUGUGCCUGGAAAUGAGGCCAUUUAUGGAGCUGAUUUUGAGUCCAAAUCUGCUGUUUACUUUCAGCUUUACCUGUAUAACUAAACGUCCAGGAAAAAGCAGUUGGACAUGUGGAGCUUCUGCGAACUUUUUCAGUAUCAUCAGGAAAAGGCAUGAGCAAACAUCGCCUGAUGAAGGAGCUCAAGUUCGCUUUUUGUGGCACUUGGAGGUUCAACUCAUUCUUGAUCACUGACAAUGGACUUCCUGCAUGCGCUACAAGCAACCCUCCCAGGCUAAUUGGUGACAUCAACCAAAGCCCUGAAAGUGAUUCUGGCAGAAAACGAACAUGUCUCUGCGAAGCAGGUGAAGAGCCCGAGACUUUGGAAUAGACACACUGGCAGCGACGGGGAUGAGACCUCACCAGGGAGGAGGUGCUAAGCCCAACUGCAGGAUGUCUCUGGGUGUCCUCCAGGCACCCCAGCUUUGAAGGCACCCCACCAACCCGGGAUCCACAAACGUUUCCGCCAGAUGUGCAGCCCUUGGAGCAAGUCGUGAAACAACUGCUUUGAAGAUGAAGAGCCCUCGGAGCACGCUAAGUAGCUGUAUUAUUGUCGUGCAGUGUGUGUCACCCUGCGGAGGAUUCAACUCCCAGCACUGUCACCGCUGGGGAAUUAGUGAAAGGCAAACUCAGCCGGAAAUGCCGAGUGCCAAAAAAGAGGAGCGAAUAAAAUGCUGGGGGUGGGAGGAAGGGGACGGUGGGUGCCUGAGCUUUGAAAUUCUGCCACUGAAAGUUCUCUCCCAUGGUUCCUUUUCCAACCCGCCCCGAGUGCAACAACUGGACCCGCCAUGUGACAGGCGCUGCAGACGGAUCGCGUUUCACACAUGCAGCUGUAAUAUCUGGCACACAGGUGUUUGGUUCUGUGUUUGCCAGCUGCUCUGCAGCGCCCUGCUACAAUGGAUAGGGGUCGGGGGGAGGGGAACCCUCACACUUGUUGCUGCCAAAAGGGAGGAGGGAGCUGGAGAUUCCUGCCCCCCGGCCAAGAGCUCAGCAUUUGACUCUGCUUGGGUCUCCCCCAGUGCCUGCUUUAGAGGGUCCUGGGGCCUCUUCUCAUGGGCUCACCCAGGACUCGGCUGUGGCUGGCUGGGAGGGCGAACAGGGCGUCUGGGAAACCUCCAAGCAAACUGGCCAGGGCCCCAGGAAGCCAGGUCCGGAGGCAGCGCACCCGGGGAUAGGAGGCCACUGGGCUGUUGAGUCAGCUUCCAACUUCACCUCUGAGCAAUUGUGAAACCUUGGCCAGGUUUCUUGCCCUGUCUGGUCUUAGUUUCCUAAUCUAUGAAAUGGAGUAUGUAACUCCUGAUCCACCAGCCCUCGUCUGUGAGGACUCCAUGAAGCACUCAGGGAAGCAGCGUUACUUUUGUUAUUCCCACCUGGGGAAGGUGGGACGGGGCAGAAACUCACCGGGCUCCUGGGCCAUAUCCCUGGACCCCUGUCAUUGAAGCCUGGCCCAGCUGUUCUGGGUCUGAGGCCCAGAUAUCACCAGUGUCCAGAUAUCACACAGAUCAUUGGUUUUCUGCUCUUUUUCCCUCCUCAGGGAGGAAGAGGCCUGGCCAUUCAGGACAGUGAAGUCACCGAAGAAAGGUGGCAGCAGGGGAGACUGGGGGUGGACUCUCCAGCCCGUGCCCGCUGGAAGCCCCUCUCCUUUCCCUUCUUAGCACCUGCCGGAUGGAGCGUCUAUGCAGCUAGGACUGUUAUAUGGAGGGUUUUCUCCCGCCGUGGACUCUCUGGAGGCUAUGGACUGUCUGCUUUGCCCAUCAUUCUG